CAAAGCCUUUCACACAAUCAAACAUAUUCCAAGGAUAGGUAAUAACUUUUAGAAUAUUUCUGUUUUCAAAUCUUUGAUAAUAGGAUGAGUCCUCUUUCGGGUGCACAAAGUGGGCGGCCGAUAGCACUACCGAUACCAUCAUAGGAUUAAUUCAGAGUCUGACUCGAUUGAAGGGUUGAGAAAGGAGCCACUCAGAGAGGAAAACAAAUCCAGGAGUCGUCUCCAUACUCGCAGAAGACGGACACACCCAGGGCAUGUCAUAGAAUGAUGUAUGUUAAGCGGUGCUGCAUAUAAAUUGUAGAUGGAGAUCUGGGAUCUCGAGAAGACGGAUUGAGUUCGGUGCCGCCGACAGAGGGAGGUUGUUAUGCGGCUGCACGCUCGUACUCUCGUCUACCUCCUCCCCAGGACCCAGACCCAGCCGCAGCCCCCGCCCGCGGUCUCGACCCUCCUCUUCGAGCCCUCCUCCCGUUCCCUCGCCCUCAUGCUCUCCGACUCCUCCUGCCUCCUCUACCCCUCUUUUUCCCCCUUCUCUUCCCCACCCCUUCCCACCGCCGUCCCUCCCGUCUCCACCGCUGCCUGCUUCCUCCGCCUCCUCCCCUCCCCCGCCGCCGCCGGCCACGUCAUCUUCCUAUCCGCCUCCCCCGUCGCCUCCGGCUCCGCCGUCCAACUCCGUGCCUGGAUCCUCCUCCCCCGCGACCUCUUCGCCCCCGCGCUCCUCAAUUUCAAGAGCGAACGCGCCUGCUCCGCCCUCGCCCUCCCGCUCCCCCACGGCCUCUCCGUUCGCCUCGCCGCCUCCACCAACGUCUUCGUUCUCCACUCCCUCGCCGCCAACCAGAUCUGGGUCUUCGCCGCCCGGCUGCCGGGCGACCAUGACGACGGCGGCGGUGGCGGGGGUCAUCCGGCCGUCGAUCUGAUGAAGUGUGCGGUCGUUGACCUCGUGCUCCCGGUCUACUCGGUCGCCGUCUCGAUGGGGUUUCUGCUUCUUGGGGAGAUGGAUGGGGUUAGGGUCUUCCCUCUGAGGCCAUUGAUUAAGGGAGAAGGAAGGGUUGCGAGGCGUGGCGGUGUGGGGCAGAAAGGGCUCAGUGCAGCUAAGGGCGUUGAUUCGGUCGUGGAUGUAUGCAAGAAGGGCGUUUUAAACGGGCUGGUGAUUCCUUCAAGCGCUGCCAAGAGUGGUCCGCCAUCUCUUGCCGCUGGCAAGCUGCCGAGACCUGAGGCUGGUUGUUGCUGCAAUGAUAGAGGUGCUGAAUUGAAAAAUGUCGUCGAAAAAGGGACAGCUGGAGAUCGCACUCCCUAUAAGCUCAGGACUGUGAGUCUGAGUCAAAAUUCAAGUGAUUACUCAAUUUUUGUGGUGAUGACUUGUGGUGACAUCCAAAAUUCUAAAAAUGCUAUGGGAGCUGUGGCAUCAGCAAAAGCAGUCUCAAUCCAUUCGCUGUCCCAGAAGAAGUUUUUGAUCUUAGAUUCUGCUGGGAAUUUGCAUGUCUUAAGCAUGCCUAAUACUGUCAAGGCACCAGAAGGCACUGCUCUGUGUUCUGCAACUCCCAAAGAUGCUCAUAUGAUCCAUCUGGAUCACACGAUGAAAGUGCAAAUGCUGGCUGUCCUUCCUGACAUUUCUGCAAAGAUGCAAAUUUUUUGGGUAUCAGAUGGUGGAUAUUCAGUGCAGAUGAUGUCAAUCACUGAUAUUGAAUGUCCUGUCAGUGAGAAUGAUAAAAAUGAAAGCAAACAGAAGGCAGUUCAGAUCUCAGCUAUUGAAGCAAUCUUUGCAAGUGAAAAAGUUCAGGACAUUAUACCUCUUUCUGCAAAUGCAAUUCUUGUUCUUGGUCAAGGAAGCAUAUUUGCAUAUGCUACAGCUUGAGACUGUUGGUGGUUGAUAAGUUAUGGUGGCCAUCUUAGAACAUAAAAUUUGUUUACAGCCACUUGGUUGCUGUUCUGUUCCAAUUUGGGUUAAGACAGGCCUUGCUGAUUAGGAGCAUUCUUUUCGUCAACCUGUCUUUGAAGUCAUGAGCUACAUUCAUCUUUUACUUCAGUACAACCUCAAGUUUAUGACUUCAAAAAGGAUCGACGAGAACUGAAAGAUAAAUGAUUAGAGGGCAUUACCUUGUACAAGUGAUGCAUUAAAUAUGCCAGAAAUGCUGCAUAUAUGACUCCUGAAAACUUAUGUCCCAUGUCUAAAAUGCCGUUCAACCAUUUUGAGGCAUGUGAAGAAAGUACCUUCUUCAUGUGAUCGCAUUGUUGGCGCGGUUCAGUUCAGCAUUAUGGAGUAUGAGCACCCAGUUUCCAUUGACCAGCUGGUUCCAUGUUGAAAGUCUUCCAUGCUGUGCUUGUCAUUUCCUUCAAGGAGCUUCUUGUUAUAUUCGCCAGAGUUAUGCAUUGGCAUGGAAGAUCAUGUUGGGUCAAGAGUCAGGCAUGUGGUGUGCUAUACAUACCUAAUUGGCAUGUGGUGUUAUACAUAUCUAAUCGGCAUGCAUACAUACCUAAAGUUGGCACUGUGAUAUUUAAGGCGCUUUCUGAAACCCAAGCGAGGGAAGUAUCUGGUUCUGGCCAAACUAUAACAGCUUUCAUGCCAUCAAGUCUAUCUACGGUGGCACAUUUACAACAAAGAUCACCGAGUUUCACAAAGAAGGGCCUCUGCCCAACUCCUAGGAUGACUCUAAUCGCUAUUAAAAUGUUUAUUUCAUGUUUCGAAUAUAGAGUUAGGAGGUUUCAACAUCUCUUUUCGUAUAUUUUUUGAUAAAUAUUUAAUGCAAGACUAUUGCCAUCAUCAUGUACUC